UACGUAGGGAGCCAGCGUUGUCCGGAAUCAUUGGGCGUAAAGCGCGCUUAGGUGGCCUCAUAAGUCCGCUGUGAAAGUCAAAGGCUCAACCUUUGAAAGCCGGUGGAUACUGUGAGACUAGAGUACGGAAGAGGCGAGUGGAAUUCCUGGUGUAGCGGUGGAAUGCGUAGAUAUCUGGAGGAACACCGGUGGCGAAGGCGGCAUCCUGGACCGGUAUUGACGCUGAGGCGCGAAAGCCAGGGGAGCAAACGGG
rnacentral:rRNA from 1 species